UGUAUGAUUGAACUUCACAAGGCACUCACGAGUAUUGUAAUAAUUAUUCUUAGAAAACAAAUGACUAAAUGUAUAAUAUUCAUCAUACUUACACAGUAGACAGUAGUUCUUCUACAGUUUUUGCUAUUAGUUCUUUUCUUUGUAAAUCAAUUGUAUUAGUGUCGUGUACAAAUGAUUGGAUAUCGACUCAAAAACAAAGAUGGAAAACCUGAGUACGGAGUAGAAGAUUCAAAUUUUGAAUUGACCUUUUAUUCAACUUUUGUUUACAAGCCAUUCACGUCACUGGAUUUACAAAGUAAUUAGGUCCUGAUUAUAAAGUAUCGUAACCAAAUGUAUGUCUACAUGAGAAAAUUCAAACAUCAAUACUUGCGGGAUCUACUGAAAGCAGAAAGAGUACCCGAGUAUCACAGGUAGUCAAAUGCUUAAUUAUAAUACGAGGCCGCAAUCACCAUAUUAGUACUUCCCAAAAUGAGUGCCAAGACUUUGACAAGCUGUGAAGCACCAGAAACAAAAAAAACAUCUCGAUCAACUGUUGGCUGUUCAGUAAGAUUGUAUAACUGCUCUGAACCUAAUACAAAAAUUAAGAAACGGCCAGCAUUACAGCUAGUUUACUGCCUGCAACAACGAACACUUUACAACUUCAAUUUUUUUUAAAUUUUAAGUAGAGUGAUACCGCUGAUGACAAUAUCACAAAAAAGAUUGUAUCAAACUAAAUAAUUUUUCUUGAGAGGAUAAAACUGUUUCCUGUUCUGGUGCAUGGAUGAAUAAGAUGAAUGAUUAUAAGUGCACUUAACCUGCUCGGAGAAUUUCUUGUAAAUUUUUUUCACCAACAUCUGUUAAAACAUGAUUUAUGGAAUCGUUAUUGUUAUUGACUGCGGAUUGGUUAAUUUGACGUACGGUGCUGAUUACUUUACUACCGUUCCAGUUUAUAUAAAGGACAAAUAUAGGCUGGACUCAUUGGCUAUAUUCAUAUAGGUUGGACAAAGAGCCAUACGAGCUGGAAGUGAGCGACCUGGAAAAGUAUACAAGAGACAAGAAUCAUCCUUAAAUGCAAUGUGUACAUAAAUCUGUCGGUGCUGAUGAAGAUCUAUUAGUUCGCCCCCGAUCAAUUUUCAACUAUGUUAAUCGAUCUCAUUUGUACGCAGAGAUAAUUGAUAAAAUAUGAUAAUUACCGACUAUUAAUUUUAAUUGGUAUACAUUACGCCAUUACGGCAUUAACAAUUUCGAUGAAUUGUUGUGUAUUUUUAAACAUUUAGACAAAUUAUCUUUUUAAAAAUGUUUAAACUAAACUUGUUUAAGACCCUAACUCUUAUUUAACAGAAACUUAUUUCCUUUAUGGCAAUCUAAUAUGAAUGUACAAUUUAUUUUAGAUACUUAUUUGUGUGUUAAAUAUGUUAUUGAAUAUACUGGUAAUAGCCAACGUGGUAUACUAAACUUGUUUUAUGAUCUGUUAAAAUUUCGAUUUUGCUUCAACAACUUUACCUAUCAAGUAAUAUUAAAUUUUUGUCGUGUCGUUUAUGCUAACAAACAAAAUUGUUAUUUUACUGUUGAAGAAUUAUUGUACUUUUGCAUUGUUACCAUCGAUUUAAUAAUGUAUUAAGUUUAUAACAUAUGCCAUUUAAAAUUUUAAGGGGAAAAUAUAUUCUA